rnacentral:rRNA from 1 species
AUUGAACGCUGGCGGCAGGCCUAACACAUGCAAGUCGAGCGGAUGAAGGGAGCUUGCUCCUGGAUUCAGCGGCGGACGGGUGAGUAAUGCCUAGGAAUCUGCCUGGUAGUGGGGGAUAACGUCCGGAAACGGGCGCUAAUACCGCAUACGUCCUGAGGGAGAAAGUGGGGGAUCUUCGGACCUCACGCUAUCAGAUGAGCCUAGGUCGGAUUAGCUAGUUGGUGGGGUAAAGGCCUACCAAGGCGACGAUCCGUAACUGGUCUGAGAGGAUGAUCAGUCACACUGGAACUGAGACACGGUCCAGACUCCUACGGGAGGCAGCAGUGGGGAAUAUUGGACAAUGGGCGAAAGCCUGAUCCAGCCAAGCCGCGUGUGUGAAGAAGGUCUUCGGAUUGUAAAGCACUUUAAGUUGGGAGGAAGGGCAGUAAGUUAAUACCUUGCUGGUUUGACGUUACCAACAGAAUAAGCACCGGCUAACUUCGUG